rnacentral:lncRNA from 1 species
ACGAUCAGGGAAAGGAAGCACCGAAUCAGAAAAUGAAUGGGCUUUCCGAAUCUGUGCAUAUCAAUUGGGGAAAUUGUGUAUUGCGGCCAGGAAAAUUCGGCAAACAUUUUGACGUCUUCGAAAAAUGCCGUUUUUUUGAAAAGUCAGUGGUUUUAUACCGGGGUGAGACGAAAUGAAAUUUGCCCGAUUAUUUUAUUAAAAUUAUUCGAAUAUAUACACGGGUCAGUCGUAAUCAUCUAUUUAAUUUAAAAUAAAAAUUUAGAUAUUAGGUGAGUUUUUACUAUUUAGUUUAUUAUUAAUAUAUGUUAAUAAUUCUUAAACAUUGCUUUUGGGAUAUAAAUAAAAGUUUUUUGAAAUUAUUGAUUUUUAAGGUUAGUCGAGUAUCAUAACUUUUUUGGUAUUGGUGCGAUUUGGUUGAAAUUUGGUACCUAGUACCUAUUUCGGAUAAGAUUAAUAAAUUUUUACAGAUAUUUGACAUGACUAUGUUUUAAGGUCACGUGACUACCUUAACUUUCUUCCUAUUUGUCCGAUUUGAUUGAAAUUUGGUAUUUGGGGUUUAUUUAGGAUGCAAUUAUUAAUUUUUCACAGAUAUUUGACAUUUGACUUCCAGGUCACGUGACUAUUGGUACUUUUUUGCUAUUGGUCUGAUUGGGUUCAAAUUUGGUAUUUGGGCUUUAUUUAGGAUGCAAUUAUUAAUUUUUCACAGAUAUUUGACAUUUGACUUCCAGGUCACGUGACUAUUGUAACUUUUUUGCUAUUGGUCUGAUUGGGUUCAAAUUUGGUGUUUGGGCUUUAUUUAGGAUGCAAUUAUUAAUUUUUG